rnacentral:rRNA from 1 species
UUAAGCGACUAAGCGUACACGGUGGAUGCCCUGGCAGUCAGAGGCGAUGAAGGGCGUGCUAAUCUGCGAUAAGCGCCGGUAAGGUGAUAUGAACCGUUAUAACCGGCGAUACCCGAAUGGGGAAACCCAGUGUGACUCGUCACACUAUCAUUAACUGAAUCCAUAGGUUAAUGAGGCGAACCGGGGGAACUGAAACAUCUAAGUACCCCGAGGAAAAGAAAUCAACCGAGAUUCCCCCAGUAGCGGCGAGCGAACGGGGAGGAGCCCAGAGCCUGAAUCAGCAUGUGUGUUAGUGGAAGCGUCUGGAAAGGCGCGCGAUACAGGGUGACAGCCCCGUACACAAAAGCGCAUGUGCUGUGAGCUCGAUGAGUAGGGCGGGACACGUGGUAUCCUGUCUGAAUAUGGGGGGACCAUCCUCCAAGGCUAAAUACUCCUGACUGACCGAUAGUGAACCAGUACCGUGAGGGAAAGGCGAAAAGAACCCCGGCGAGGGGAGUGAAAAAGAACCUGAAACCGUGUACGUACAAGCAGUGGAGCCCCACCACUAAGCCAGUGGUGAACUCCACAUACGCAUCCUUUGCUGAGGAUACGGUUAACGGAGCGAAAGCGACGUUCAACCGCAAAAGAAGCAGAGGGGGCUUAGUGGUGGGGUGACUGCGUACCUUUUGUAUAAUGGGUCAGCGACUUAUAUUCUGUAGCAAGGUUAACCGUAUAGGGGAGCCGGAGGGAAACCGAGUCUUAAUUGGGCGUUAAGUUGCAGGGUAUAGACCCGAAACCCGGUGAUCUAGCCAUGGGCAGGUUGAAGGUUGGGUAACACUAACUGGAGGACCGAACCGACUAAUGUUGAAAAAUUAGCGGAUGACCUGUGGCUGGGGGUGAAAGGCCAAUCAAACCGGGAGAUAGCUGGUUCUCCCCGAAAGCUAUUUAGGUAGCGCCUCGUGAAUUCAUCUCCGGGGGUAGAGCACUGUUUCGGCUAGGGGGGCCAUCCCGGCUUACCAACCCGAUGCAAACUGCGAAUACCGGAGAAUGUUAUCACGGGAGACACACGGCGGGUGCUAACGUCCGUCGUGAAGAGGGAAACAACCCAGACCGCCAGCUAAGGUCCCAAAGUCAUGGUUAAGUGGGAAACGAUGUGGGAAGGCCCAGACAGCCAGGAUGUUGGCUUAGAAGCAGCCAUCAUUUAAAGAAAGCGUAAUAGCUCACUGGUCGAGUCGGCCUGCGCGGAAGAUGUAACGGGGCUAAACCAUGCACCGAAGCUGCGGCAGCGAACGUAUCACUUAAAGCGAUUCAGCGGGUUACGAUUGACGGAGCGAAGCGACGUCAAAGCGUAUACAAAAGUCGAGUCGGUUUAAGGAUACGUUCGUUGGGUAGGGGAGCGUUCUGUAAGCCUGUGAAGGUGGCCUGUGAGGGUUGCUGGAGGUAUCAGAAGUGCGAAUGCUGACAUAAGUAACGAUAAAGCGGGUGAAAAGCCCGCUCGCCGGAAGACCAAGGGUUCCUGUCCAACGUUAAUCGGGGCAGGGUGAGUCGACCCCUAAGGCGAGGCCGAAAGGCGUAGUCGAUGGGAAACGGGUUAAUAUUCCCGUACUUGGUGUUACUGCGAAGGGGGGACGGAGAAGGCUAUGUUGGCCGGGCGACGGUUGUCCCGGUUUAAGCGUGUAGGUGUGUGUUCCAGGUAAAUCCGGUUCACUUUAACACUGAGGCGUGAUGACGAGGCACUACGGUGCUGAAGCAACAAAUGCCCUGCUUCCAGGAAAAGCCUCUAAGCAUCAGGUAACAUCAAAUCGUACCCCAAACCGACACAGGUGGUCAGGUAGAGAAUACCAAGGCGCUUGAGAGAACUCGGGUGAAGGAACUAGGCAAAAUGGUGCCGUAACUUCGGGAGAAGGCACGCUGACACGUAGGUGAAGUGAUUUACUCAUGGAGCUGAAGUCAGUCGAAGAUACCAGCUGGCUGCAACUGUUUAUUAAAAACACAGCACUGUGCAAACACGAAAGUGGACGUAUACGGUGUGACGCCUGCCCGGUGCCGGAAGGUUAAUUGAUGGGGUCAGCGCAAGCGAAGCUCCUGAUCGAAGCCCCGGUAAACGGCGGCCGUAACUAUAACGGUCCUAAGGUAGCGAAAUUCCUUGUCGGGUAAGUUCCGACCUGCACGAAUGGCGUAAUGAUGGCCAGGCUGUCUCCACCCGAGACUCAGUGAAAUUGAACUCGCUGUGAAGAUGCAGUGUACCCGCGGCAAGACGGAAAGACCCCGUGAACCUUUACUAUAGCUUGACACUGAACAUUGAGCCUUGAUGUGUAGGAUAGGUGGGAGGCUUUGAAGUGUGGACGCCAGUCUGCAUGGAGCCGACCUUGAAAUACCACCCUUUAAUGUUUGAUGUUCUAACGUGGACCCGUGAUCCGGGUUGCGGACAGUGUCUGGUGGGUAGUUUGACUGGGGCGGUCUCCUCCUAAAGAGUAACGGAGGAGCACGAAGGUUGGCUAAUCCUGGUCGGACAUCAGGAGGUUAGUGCAAUGGCAUAAGCCAGCUUGACUGCGAGCGUGACGGCGCGAGCAGGUGCGAAAGCAGGUCAUAGUGAUCCGGUGGUUCUGAAUGGAAGGGCCAUCGCUCAACGGAUAAAAGGUACUCCGGGGAUAACAGGCUGAUACCGCCCAAGAGUUCAUAUCGACGGCGGUGUUUGGCACCUCGAUGUCGGCUCAUCACAUCCUGGGGCUGAAGUAGGUCCCAAGGGUAUGGCUGUUCGCCAUUUAAAGUGGUACGCGAGCUGGGUUUAGAACGUCGUGAGACAGUUCGGUCCCUAUCUGCCGUGGGCGCUGGAGAACUGAGGGGGGCUGCUCCUAGUACGAGAGGACCGGAGUGGACGCAUCACUGGUGUUCGGGUUGUCAUGCCAAUGGCACUGCCCGGUAGCUAAAUGCGGAAGAGAUAAGUGCUGAAAGCAUCUAAGCACGAAACUUGCCCCGAGAUGAGUUCUCCCUGAGACUUAGAGUCUCCUGAAGGAACGUUGAAGACGACGACGUUGAUAGGCCGGGUGUGUAAGCGCAGCGAUGCGUUGAGCUAACCGGUACUAAUGAACCGUGAGGCUUAACCUU